UACGUAGGGUGCAAGCGUUACUCGGAAUUACUGGGCGUAAAGCGUGCGCAGGCGGUCUUGCAAGACAGAUGUGAAAUCCCCGGGCUCAACCUGGGAACUGCAUUUGUGACUGCAAGGCUGGAGUGCGGCAGGGGGGGAUGGAAUUCCGCGUGUAGCAGUGAAAUGCGUAGAUAUGCGGAGGAACACCGAUGGCGAAGGCAAUCCCCUGGGCCUGCACUGACGCUCAUGCACGAAAGCGUGGGGAGCAAACAGG
rnacentral:rRNA from 1 species